AUCUUCACGUAGUUCAUAAGCAUAAUGAUUGACUGUUCAUACCAUUGUGUGAUAUGUGUCUCCUUCAAACCUUGUUAUGACCUUGGCACUUUACCUGUCUGAUA
rfam:Canis lupus familiaris chromosome 14, whole genome shotgun sequence.